rnacentral:lncRNA from 1 species
UACAACCACAGAACAGUUUGGGUCACGCUUGUAGCCUGGAAGAUCACUUGGUGCAAAAGAUAAACUUUUAAGGAAAAGAAAUUCAAGUAAAGUGGUACAUGAGGGAAAUAAAAUUUUUGAAGCAAGACAAACUAUUGAUGUAUAGUUUCUAUGGACAACCAAAUUGUUAGAAAUGAAGAAAUUUCAAUUAAAGCUCCUGAAGUAGUCCAAGUGCAAGAAAAUAAUAAAAUUUCAAUUA